rfam:Ovis aries breed Texel chromosome 8, whole genome shotgun sequence.
UCCCGGGGAGCUCAGCUGGUAAAGAAUCUGCCUGCAAUGCAGGUGGACCCUGGUUCAAUUCCUGGGUUGGGAA